AAUACAUGCAAGUCGAACGGUAAGGUCCGAAGUGGCAACACGGAGGAUACACGAGUGGCGCACGGGUGCGUAACGCGUAUGCAACCUGGCCCCCGACCGGGACAAAACAGCUGGAAACGGCUGCUAAUAUCCCAUGGUCAUGCGGAAGGGCAUCCUUCUUCAUGUAAAGAUUCAUUGGUCGGGGAUGGGCAUGCGUAUUAUAGGUAGUUGGCGGGGUAACGGCCCACAAGCCGACGAUGAUUAGGGGUCCUGAGAGGGUUAACCCCCACACUGGAACUGAGACACGGUCCAGACUCCUACGGGAGGCAGCAGUAGGGAAUAUUGGGCAAUGGGAGCAAUCCUGACCCAGCCAUGCCGCGUAGAAGGAAGACGGCCCUAUGGGUUGUAAACUUCUUUUGCCGCAGAGCAAACCCGGUCACGAGUGGUCGGUUGAGAGUAUGCGGCGAAUAAGUAUCGGCUAACUCCGUGCCAGCCGCCGC
rnacentral:rRNA from 1 species